CAGCCGCCGCGGGAAUACGUAGGGUGCAAGAGUUAAUCGGAAUUACUGGGCGUAAAGCGUGCGCAGGCGGUUAUAUAAGACAGAUGUGAAAUCCCCGGGCUCAACCUGGGAAUGGCAGUGGAUACUGGCAAGCUAGAGUGUGUCAGAGGAUGGUGGAAUUCCCGGUGUAGCGGUGAAAUGCGUAGAGAUCGGGAGGAACAUCAGUGGCGAAGGCGGCCAUCUGGGACAACACUGACGCUGAGGCACGAAAGCGUGGGGAGCAAACAGGAUUAGAUACCCCAGUAGUCCCUGUCUCUUAUAC
rnacentral:rRNA from 1 species